CGUGCGCCAAUUUGUUUGUCAGGACGAUCUCUAGUGGCACUCGCGCAUUAAAUGCAACAAUUGAUUGAUUGGGUGUCUGUUUAUAACGUUUUGUAGUCUUUUAUUUAUUUUCUAUUGCCUAUGAGAUAGAUAUGCCUAUGAGUUUUGCUUCACGACUUUGUUCUCCAAUUUGUGGCUCCUUUUUCGUAUCACACAGUUUUAUUUCCAUGAACGCUAUAAUCAUAAACUUUUUAUUACUAUUCAUCCGUAGACUUACGAGUGCGCUUGAGUGGAAAAAAGUUGAGUGGUUGUGUGAUUUAACGGGGAGAGGGCCCCGUACAGAUUUCAAAAAAUACAUGACGCACUUCCAAUAGUACAACCGAUGAAGUGUAACUGUAACACAUCUGCCUCACGACGAUUGAUUCGUAAUGAUUGCUGUGCGGUUUGGCAACCUACUGCGGAAAGUUCUGUAUCAAUGUUUUGACGGUAAUAAUAUGGCAACCGUGGAGAGAAGGAUAAAUUAUUGCUGACGGCAUAAUUUUGGCUCUGACAUUUCAAAGGAUGCGGUAGUUAUCUUAAGAGGCAGGUGGAAAAAUGAAAUUUUGCAAAUGGGUACAACGAAUAUGUAAGAUGCUGUUUUUAGGACUAUCGACGAGGCUGUGGUCGCGGUGUGACAUUUCUGAGAAGUUAUAAAAUCGUUGGAGAACUUUGACACACAAAGAAAAAAGUACUCAGCUGCUGUAUUUGAAGUUGUACAUUAUUACUAUUAUUUAUCAUGAAGCGGGGUUCAUUAGGAUAUUUUAUUCUCACCCCCUUGGCUUACUCGUCACCCAUCGAUAUAGUCCGCAAAGGAAUUUUUUAAGGACUCCAUAAGCUGUUGGUGUGAUCCUGUCUUGCGGCUAGGCGCUGCGUAACUACCAAGUCGGCUGUGCGGAAAAUCUUAGCUGGCUUCGUCAGACAUCCUCCACUAUUAAGUACCUGCCUAAUAUUAAUGCCCGUUCAUCUGAA